UACGUAGGGGGCGAGCGUUGUCCGGAUUUACUGGGCGUAAAGAGCGUGUAGGCGGCCACGCGAGUCCGUUGUGAAAACUGGAGGCUCAACCUUCAGACGUCGACGGAAACCGUGUGGCUAGAGUCCGGAAGAGGAGAGUGGAAUUCCUGGUGUAGCGGUGAAAUGCGCAGAUAUCAGGAAGAACACCAAUGGCGAAGGCAGCUCUCUGGGACGGUACUGACGCUGAGACGCGAAAGCGUGGGGAGCGAACAGG
rnacentral:rRNA from 1 species